ACAACACUGAUCCUCUGAUACAUGGCGAUCAUAUUUGCAUCACACAAGAGGAAGAGUUUGCCACAGUAUGUACAAACGAAGCUGUCUUAAAAACAGCUAUGGUCGUGUACACACAUGACAUUGGACCUAUGCCUGAGAGUGAAGAAAACGAAGCAUUACGCUACGCGGCGUACCGACAGUGGACGGCUUGAGUGCAUGGCAGGUUGGGAAAAAAGUACCGACUACCCAUACCUUCUUGUGCUGUGGACAAAAUCCGGAAAGCAUUUCCUUCGCCUUCUGGAGAAUACAAAGGAUUUGAAUAUGCUCAACACUACUGAAUGCGAGAUUUAUGUUGCUUAAUGGCUUCAGCUUUGCUGAUUUUUGAUUUGUGGUGAGUCAAUGGGACAGGUAUGUCUUUCACU